rnacentral:rRNA from 1 species
GACGAACGCUGGCGGCGUGCUUAACACAUGCAAGUCGAACGGAAAGGCCCUGCUUUUGUGGGGUGCUCGAGUGGCGAACGGGUGAGUAACACGUGAGUAACCUGCCCUUGACUUUGGGAUAACUUCAGGAAACUGGGGCUAAUACCGGAUAGGAGCCCCUGCUGCACGGCGGGGGUUGGAAAGUUUCGGCGGUUGGGGAUGGACUCGCGGCUUACCAGCUUGCUGGUUGGGUAGUGGCUUACCAAGGCUUUGACGGGUAGCCGGCCUGAGAGGGUGACCGGCCACAUUAGGACUGAGAUACGGCCCAGACGCCUACAGGGGGCAGCAGUGGUGAAUAUUGCACAGUGGGCGGAAGCCGGAUGCGGCGGCGCCGCGUGCGGGAUGACGGCCUUCGGGUUGUAAACCGCUUUCGCCUGUGACGAAGCGUGAGUGACGGUAAUGGGUAAAGAAGCACCGGCUAACUACGUG